CAGCUACAAUGCUCUUAAACUCAUCUGCUGUGUGAUCCCUCUAAAAAAUCGCCCCACCAGUCAGCGGCUUAUAACGUGCGUGGCUACAUUCACUCCCUUUACUUUCGGCUUUUCUCCCUCUCCGCUUGCGCAAUGUAUUCAUGAGGAAACCGUAAAGUGUUAAAUGUUUGAAAUACAAAACCGCCGAAUUUCACAUGCUGAAAAAGGACUCCGCUACUCGUGCGCGCGGCACUGGUGUGUCUGUGCAAUAGACUCUGCAAAGAAAAACUACUCUCACACGCCUGCAAGUCCGUGGCUGCAAAAAAGGACGCUGAAAACCUCAUUUUUCAGUUUCAAGACAAACGUUUAAAAAUCAAAACUGGCUCACGUUUUUCCCAACCAACCCAGUUUGACAGCUGCGCUUCACCCCGUUUGGAGGACUGUCAGCAGCAAGAGGAUGGCAUCAGAGCUGGCAAUGAGCAACUCCGACCUGCCCACCAGUCCCCUGGCCAUGGAAUAUGUUAAUGACUUCGAUCUGAUGAAGUUUGAAGUGAAAAAGGAGCCGGUGGAGCCCGAUCGCAACAUCAGCCAGUGCAGUCGCCUUAUCGCCGGGGGAUCCUUGUCUUCCACCCCGAUGAGCACGCCGUGCAGCUCGGUGCCCCCUUCCCCAAGCUUCUCGGCACCCAGUCCGGGCUCGGGGAGCGAGCAGAAGACACACAUAGAGGAUUUCUACUGGAUGUCCGGUUAUCAACAGCAGUUGAAUCCAGAGGCGUUGGGCUUCAGCCCCGAAGACGCAGUCGAGGCGCUGAUCAACAGCAGUCACCAGCUCCAGUCCUUCGAUGGCUAUGCCAGGGGCCAGCAGUUUGCUGGCGCAGCCGGAGCAGGAGGCACCAUGGCCGGGGAGGAGAUGGGGUCCGCCGCGGCGGUGGUGUCGGCAGUUAUCGCUGCGGCAGCCGCUCAGAACGGAGGGCAGCACCACCACCACCACCAUCACCACCACAGCAGCAGCCACCACCAGGCACCCGGCGUCCAGUCCAACGGCACUUCUGGUUCAAUUCACCCACACAUGCGCUUGGAGGAUCGGUUUUCGGACGACCAGCUGGUCAGCAUGUCAGUGCGGGAGCUCAACCGGCAGCUACGGGGGGUCAGCAAGGAAGAAGUGAUCCGAUUGAAACAGAAGAGGAGGACCCUAAAGAACAGAGGCUACGCUCAGUCCUGCCGGUACAAGCGGGUCCAGCAGCGGCACGUCCUGGAGGGAGAGAAGACGCAACUUAUGCAGCAGGUCGAUCACCUAAAGCAGGAGAUCUCCAGGCUGGUCCGGGAGAGGGACGCGUACAAAGAAAAGUAUGAGAAGCUCAUCAGCAACGGCUUCAGAGAAAAUGGAUCGAGCAGCGACAACAACCCUUCAUCCCCGGAGUUUUUCAUGUCAUCGAGAAAAUUCCUCCAUCUGUGAUUUCAAGCCCCAUUCCUCCGUGCCCUUGGCUCUCUGAGACUGGUGUGUUGGGUCCUGAGAAAGUCAACUGGCAGAUCUGCACUGGCCCCUCUGCCAGUAACCUGCCAUACAGCCCUCAGGCAACCUUCCAUGCAACACAAAUAACCCAACGACUGAGCAGUGAUGACGUCAGAGCGGCUGACCAAUCGCACGAAGACACCUACAAAGCACAACAUUCAAAAAUGAUUUCACAGAAGAACAGACGAGACCUGCUGAAAUCCCUCAAAAUCCCUACAGUGAAAUUCUUGAAAGCCUCUUACUACUCCUGUUUCCCUCCCUGAUAUUUUACCUCCAGCUUUUUUCUACGAAACACGAAAAACAAAAAAAAAACUAAAAACAAAAAACAAAACAGACAGACUCAUGCUUAUGAGACGGUUGACAACGCCAGAUAAAUACACUGGAUGGACUAUUUUCUCUUUGGCGGGAAGAUCAUUGAUGCAUGCUUCUGUAAAUAGAUCAUACAACCCUAGUCUUAUCCCUAAUAUAGGAAACAUACCGAGUCGCUCUCACCAAAUUCAUAAACCUUCAUGACUGUUCAAUAUUUUCCAUGACUCAGUAUUCUUACCUCCUCAGAGACCAUGUAAUUAUCAUUUCCAAUAUCAUUUCUCUACUCUUUGGAGUUACUUGGACUGUAAAAAUUGUACUUCCUAUUCUUCUUAUUCUCUUUACAUAACGGCCUAGUCUUCCUCUCCAAUAUCCACAUUAGUACAUGUAAAUAAUGAUGAAUGAAGACAACAGCAUGGAACCAACUAUAGUGUAUAUUUACCACUCCCCUAGUAGAUCACAAAUCUCAAUAUGUGGAUAUUUCAGACAACCUUUUUAAAAGUUUAAAAUACUUGAACUUGUUUUCUGGUAGUUAAAGACAUAGUCCCAGGUAUCUGAACACUUUUCCUAUGUAUUUGAAUAGAUGCAUAAAGGCGUUAGCUAUAGACAAUGUUAUUAUUUGACUACCUUAAAAGAAUUAGAGGGCAGAAAUUUCUUUGAUAUCAUCAAUCAGUUCAACCAGGAGACAAACGGUCAAACCGAGAAAAAGCAGGCAAUACUCCCAAGCCAUGAGCCUACCUUGGCACUUAUAAAUAUUAUUUUUAGCAUUUGAUAUUUUAUUUUAUAUGAUUGUUUACAAUUUUCUCCCAAUAUCUACCUACUGUAUUUAUUCUUUCCCAUGGCAAUAAUUGCCCUCUCCCUCCCCAUGAGCGGGUGGUAACUGCUGUAGCAAAGCUGCUGUCAGCCUGAGAGGGCCUCUUUUUUUAUUUGCAUGGUUUGAAACGGCGCUCCGAUCCUGAGCCAACACAUGAGGGAGCACCUCACUGAUCGCAAUGUAGACAUGAGAACUUUGACCUCCAUCUUCUAUGGACUAUGAAGAUAACCAAAUGGACUGACAGAUAAUAUGCCAAGCCAAUGAACAGACAACCUCAAAGGUUACCCCAUCCACUGGUGAAGACUGAAAAACCUUUGCAUGGACAACAGGGAAAAUACUAGGUUGUUGAACACCUCAUCACCACCACCGUGCAUCCUCUACCUCAUACUCAGUGUGUGUUGUGCAACCCAGAAAAUCAUGACUUACAGUGACCCCUCUACUGUCCCCACAGUCUACUUGUCCGCUGCAUGUCCCUAGAGCCUCAUGAGGAGAGUGUGACUCAGCGUUGAAUGCUACUGAUGGACGCACAUGGCAACGGGGAAAACAAAACAAACACUUGUUCACCUUGACACAAACAAACUCACACAUACAAGCGCAUGCAUACAGAUGCACAAUCAUACACAGCACCACUCAAAUAUGUUGCUGUAUAUAUGUACAGUAUAUCCACUAUUUAUAGUCUCAGAUGCUGUACUUUGCAUGUUUGACUUGUAGAUGGAACGUGAUCAUUAUUCAUAGAAGAGGUUGUGCAGGUAGGCCUAGUCACUGGAUUGACUUUCUAAAUCAAUGCAAGCUUAACAUCUCCUUACUUUGAUUUGAGAAAAUGCAUCGUAACAUGACAGAAAUAGUUUUACCGCCCCGUUCCCAUUAUGAAAGAUCCCCUUUGGCCAAACAGCAGUGCUGAUAGGUUUUAAACUCUUUGAAGGGACACAUAACCUCGCCUUUGAUGUCAGACAGAACCUGGCCACAGUGAGCGCGGAUAGGAGAAGAGAGAAGGGAAGGCAAAAUGGGGCGCUCCAAUUAAGUGGCAGUGCACAAAGUGGCAUGGGGCAUCCUGCCAGCAACUGUCCAUUCAUCCUAUGUCAAAGGGAUUUGCACAUCUCAAUGAGUCUACGCACUGCCAGAGAAGUCCGAGAACAGAGCAAAGAAAGAAAGCGAGGCUCAGGAGAAAGUAUGAAAGAGAAAAAUACUAUUUUGACAAAAAUUUAAGGUUGUACUGAGCUUAUGCGUUUUAUUAAGUAUUCUCCUGGUCUUUCCACCUAUAGAAUAUUAUUUUCUGUCCAGCAGCCACCUUGGAGAGUUUAAUUACUCCUUAACUUCAAACUGUUAAAGCGUCAUACAGCUCUCUGGGCUGUCAUGACCUCACGUCCUGUCUGAGGUUAAGUUUGUGUUAAUGAGCAUGGCCCUUAGCUCAACCAGAUGUUCAGCUUUGUGGUUAAAUACUUGUAACCCUUCUAUCCCAAUGAUUCUUCAAUGCCUGCCCACUACAGCUGUACUAGAAAUUAGAAAUUAGAUUAAAACUCGUGUGUUUUUACUGAAAACAAUAAAACUGAUCCAACUCUUGUCAGUGAAUCCUAUAUGCUGUACCAAGAAAGAUUUUGUCAUUUUAGAAUACAGGCUCUGUAGAUGACUUCAUUUGUGCAGUCAAUUUAUAUGAAGAAAUCUUCCUAAUUUAAAUACUGUCAGAGCACACUGAAUCACAUGAGGGUAUUUACAGUCAACAUGUAAACAAACUAGAAAUUAGGACUUAUGACUUAGCCAUGAUUAGUUAAAGAAGAUUUAAAAUACAGGAAGGAUGAAGGUGUCACUCAAAUAUGAGACGUUGUAUGUGGUAGGAAACAAGACAUUGAGCAAGUGCUGAUCUUCUCUGAGCCUCAACGCUUUCUACUUUCUUAGAAGUCAAACAAAGCCCCAUUUCUGCGCAGCUGCAGGCAAUGUGUGACAGACUGAUUUGUUUUUCUAUGCGUUUGAAUGCAAAUACUGUGUUGUUCUGCCCUGACAGUCAGGCAGCAUGUGCAAGUCUAUCUGGCAAUGACCCUGACCAGGGUCAGUACAUGUACAUAAACAUGCAUAGAUGCACAUGUUCAUAUAAAGAAUGUGUGAAAGUGCACAAAAAUGCAUAGAAGCGCAUCCUUGCUCUUACUCUCUCUCUCUCUCGCACACACACACCAUGCUAAUCUAAACAGCAAGGCUGUAUGUAAACAGAUCGUCUACAUAAUGGGAUUGUUCAGUGUGCAAACAAUAAGCUGUUAGCGUAAUCACAGGUCAAAGAUAUAUUACCCAGAGGGCCACGCUGUAGGUAUAUUAACAUGAUGGAUAUGUGGGAGAGAGGAGGGGGGCAGGGAUACGAAGGCUAUAGAGCGCUACUGAUUCAGAUUUACCCCCUAUUGGGCCCCGUCCGCCGCCUUUCUCUCUUCUACCUCCCUCGUAUGGGCCCCACUUAAUCAGCCUUCCUCAUUCUACUCUUGCUCCUUCCCCCUUCAGAGACACUAGGUUCCUACCUGUCUUUACCAUUUGUCCGCUCUAAGACCUCACCCCUGCCUUUUUCAUUCACUCCGUCCUCUUCCCAUUUCGGCAAAGCAGUCCAUCAAUCUCUGUGGUCAGUGUGAGAGCAGGAUUAAGCAAAGAGGGGUCUGAUCAUAUUGGGCCACUGAGGUGCUUCACCCAUGAUUAAUACAUAAACAAGAACGUGGAAAGAGCAAGGACAGAAAUACAGCAUUUUUUAGCAUCGAUUUAGAGAUAUUCAUAUGUUUAUAUUUCUAUGAACAAUGUGAUAAAUAAAACAGCUAUACAGUACAUCUACAGACCCAUCCCAUUAUCUGUACUUAACCAUGUUGAAAGCACCAUGCUUGAGUGUCUCAACAAGUAGCAGAAUACAAGUGCCAUGCCAGUCGAGAUAAAUCCUGUGUAGCUUACUCCAUUGCACAUACAGCUUAUUAACUUAUCUCUGCUUUAUUUGAUUACCAUCUAGCCCAUUCUCUCAACUGGUUAAUAAGUCUAUGUCCUCCUGACUAAACACUCCAUUAGUGUCAUCACUGGCUAGCUUGUGUGUGCACUGUGUUCGUCUGUGGACCACUGAAGCAGAUACACACUGGGGGCCAAGUGACAGAGUAAACACACAGGCAGAACACAGGGGAGAAAAACAACCUGUAAGACAAACAAUAGGUACACAGGUGACCAGUUUCAUUAUGAUCGCAAUAGCCAAGACCCUCUGCCUCAUGGACGUUUGGAUAAAGAUGUGGUUUAAGAUUUUUGUAUGAACAAGCAAUUAAAUUUUAACAACGCAGUCUUUGAGAUUGACUUUGAGAAACAUUUUUGGAUAGGGAAGGAACUGGAAGGAAGGAACUGGGUAAAACUCCCAUAAUUUCAGUGUUUCUAUGUCUGAAUGGAGAUGAAACGGUAGUGCUUUAAUCAUCAGUCCAAAAGAUUAACAGCAAUAUAAUAUAAUAUAUAAUGUAAGGGAUAAUGCCCGACGAGGUGUCCAUUAGUGUCCAUUAGUCGAGACAACCGCCUGUGUGUCAUUAUCCAACUUAUACCAUGGUCACUGCCAAAGGAGAAAAAAAAAAAGAUUAUUAUUAUUUAUUUUUUUAAGUUUCUGUUUCCCUGGUAACACCUGAGGUAAUACCUGUACAAAUUAUUACCAUCCCAUAAGGUUCUAAUGCAAUGGAAACGUUGUUCUCUCCUCCGGUAAAUAUGACAAACCAUAGAUAUGAUUUGGCAACAGGAGAUAUUUCUAGCUCAUAGAGCACUUUGGCACAGCUACAAGACGUUAUACUUGCAACAUUCAAAGUCAAUAAAACUGCUUACGGUCGAGAAACGGUAAAUAUAAUUUGACAGUAUGUUCAACAACAAAAGCAGCUAGCUAUCCAGCCAUGUCACUGUCCCCAAAUAACAUCAAGACUUUCACGAACAAUAGGGCAUGUGUACUUGCGGCCUGAAGUAGCGGGCUGAAUAGCGGACGGGAUGCGGGAGGAUAGCUUCCUCCCAGUAUCAGUAAGUUCAGAGGGGCAGUGUAGGGGUUUGAUCACUACACUCAAUGUUGUGAUAUAUUUAUGAGACAUACAGAUUUUGUUUUCAUUCAAUGCAUUCAUUUAGAAUGGUAAACAGACAGUUUCACUGAAACUACUUACUAGGUGUCCUAAAUCAGGAAUUAAUGGACACCCAGCAGCCAAUCAGAAUCGAGUAUUCACCCAGACCAUGGUAUAAUAUAUUAUGUAUUAUAGUAAUAACUGGUAGCCAUAGCAAAAACCUAACAUAGGGGUAUUACAUCGUCCGGCAGACACCUGUGUGUAUAUGAGGACAUUGUUAAAGAAAAUUUUGAAAAGACAGAAAAGAAAACAACAGAACAAGCAGCUCCUUCCACUCACCAACUCUAUAAUGUAGAAAUGUACGGGUGCACACACAUCAAUGCUCUCUGUUCCACUCUCUCUCACUCAGACACAUGCCCACAUAUACACACACACUCUGUUCCUCUGUGUGCCUGUGUCUGGUAGGGUGCCAUGAUUAACAGUGACCUAAAGCCAGACACUGAGGUAGUGGGAGUGGGGGGUCAAAGGUGAAAGGAUUACAGUGAGGCAACCCAUGUCAACUGCUCUGCUUUAAUCCUGACCUCCAAGCUAACCCGAGACUCUUUAAAAAUGAUUCACAUGUAUGAGCGCAACAUAUUGCGUGUUCAUCGUCGCAUCACUCAGAGAAUUACUGUGUGAGGAUUGUGUGGCUAUUUUAACUGAAAAAGAACUUUCAAAUACUUGAAAUGUAGCUUAUAAAGCAGCAUGGAUUUGGUUAUAGAGAUACAGUGGAUGAGGGUAGUUCUAAUAGCCAGACAGAAGAAAAGACAGAGCAGACCUCCUUAUGUCACACAGCUAAUGACAGGGAUGAAUUGCCUUUAAAGCCCCUACACCCACCUCAUUCUGGCCCGCGCAUAAGCUUGUGCUCUGGGUGAGCAGUUAGCCAUCAAGCCCCUUGCUGAGAUGAGAUGGGCCCCCAAGAAGAUUUGGGAGGGGGGAGAUGGAGAGAAUCAGAUUAACCAAAAUGCCUCAAUUGGAGUAAAUGCUCUUGGCUGACCUCAGUGUAAUACCAUUGAUAAAUGCUGUAAACCAAAUCUUUAGCAUCUGAUUAGAUAAUGGAGGAAAACACAUCCUUUUAGCAACCAUUAGCUGUGGCGAAACAGCCCAAACCUUCAACCUAAGGGUUGUAUGUGAAUGUAUCAAAACACAAACAAGUUUGUUCAAAGCAGCAGGGAAUUUUACAAAUACUCCAGUUGCCAUUAUAGAAAUAAAUAAAUAGGGAAAUAAUAAAUCGCCAGAAGCUGUGGACAGGUGGCAUUUCAGCCUGCACCGUUUAGCUGUGCAGUCUGGUUUCUGACAGCUUGAUUUAGUUUCCUGCACCUGAGCCAGAAAAGAGAGAAAAUUAACGGCAGGAAAAACAGCUUAACUAGAUUCCAAUUUGCCUGCUUUGAAACACAAUUGAUGAAGCUAAUGUAUAUAGAAAACACAGAAUGGACUAUAUGGUAGCCGUCCCAAGCUUAUUGUGAUCAUGCAAACUGCGCACUCAUUUAGGGUCAGGUACAUGGGGAAGGUGAUUUGAUUUAUUCUGAUUCUGCCAUCUGAGCCUGGGUCUGUUUUGAGGGGGAAGGGGGUGGGGCGUUAGGGUUUGUCUUUAGGGUGUAGAAGGGAGAUUAAAGUGGCUCGAAGGGAGAUGCUAGGAAACAUGCUGUUGUCCCUGCUGUGAACAGGGUGUAAUCCUUCAGUUUCAGAGAAGUAAAAGUUUGUCGAGUCCAGAAAGUUACAAAUACGUCCCUUCUGGGCCCCCUACGGAGCAGAGAGUGCGAGACAGCAGGGGGUAACCAUAUGCUAUCAAAGUGUUCUUCAAAGCUCCCAUCUUUAGUCCACUAAAUUAUCCAGUAUCAUCAAAUACACCUGACAAAAAUAGAAGAAACAUAAGUAUGCAGCUCAACUUACAUACCUUAAAAAUAUGUUUUAAGCAAUGUGUUGCCUUUGAAAGUGAGGGGACUUUUUUUUUUUACUGGAAUGACUUUGUUUAAACAGUAGCCAUGUCCCAGUGGUGUGGGUCAGCUCAUGAUUUUGUAUUUACAUGCGUUUAAAAUACUGCUGCUGGUGGGCAAUUAAAAAUUUAUGAUUCUUAUCACAAUGAGCCCCUUCUCUGUUACCAGAGGUUAAUUUGUGCUCGCCCCUCAUUUCAAUUGUACUGUAGUAAAUGUCCACAUUAUUUCCCACAUGGGCCUGGAUGAGGGGUUUGAUUAUCCAAAGGUAGGCCUUGGUUGGCUCUGUUAUUGUCAGAGGGGUCGUAAGCCUCGGUAACGGCUUCUAGGGUCUUAUUGCUAUGGCGAUCAGCCUCUUGCCACUUGGCCUCUGUGACCCCAGUCAGAGAUAAGCUUUAUGGGAAAGCACAUUAACAUGCUACUGCAGUCACCCUGCUCCUUUAUCAAAGGCACUUCUGUGAAAUCAAGUGUUUAUGGACCCCCAGUGAGGGUAUAGGGCUGCUGAUUGCCUAUAUUAGAGGUUGCGUGUAAAUGAGGUAGAGGUGGACACUGGACCUGCAGUAGUCGGGAUGUGAUACUGAUGUUAUUUUCACUAAAUGAGCAAUUUUGACGUUUGACUUUAACGACUGCAACGCCCCAUGAGUAGGUCACAAGCCCCUGGAUUACAAAUAUUGUCUGCAGUCUAAAUAUAUCCAUGUCUUCCAUUCUUUCUACAAAAACUGACAUGACCAUAACCAUAAGAGAAGUACAGUGUGCAUAUAGAUGUGUUUUAACAUUAUAUUUUGAAGUUAUUCAUUCUAGUAGCUGUAGGUAACAACUUUUACUAUUACCGUUUUCUCCUUUGUGUUACAUUGGUCCUGUUAAAUUGUCCAAUUAGUGGACUCUUGCACAUGUGUUGCGUUGAUAUGGGCAUUUUCCUGUGGCUAUGAGCGACACCAAGAUCAAAAUAAAUAAAUAAAUACGUAGGUGUCAGUAGUGUGUGCCUGCUUACAGCCUGAUCACUGGUGAAAGAUCUUUUCACUAUGUCUGUAAUGAUGGAUGGUGAUAGCCCUGUGUCUUUGUACACAUCAGGGGGCCCUACUGUUGUCACUGGACAGAUAGAGGGAGUGAGAAAGAGAAAGAUGUAGCCGCAGCUUAAUGUCCUUCUCUGGUGCUGUGCAUGCUCUUUCCUAUUUGCUUUUCCCUUCACGGCACGGUUAACAUCGUAAAUUAACCUUUCCAGGCCCCCUGUGCUCAGACACUGGUGUGAAAUACAGACAAAGGGAAAAAAAAUAGAUCUGUAUUAUGCAAUGCAGUAGCACCGGUCGGAGACGUAGCCUGUUACAGGAUUGAGCUAUUCCUUUUUCAGCGAUAGGGAAUAAAACAACACACUUUGUCCAGUCAAGCAAACAUUCUAUUUUAUGUGCAUGUCCUGUGUACUCUGCAAAUCAGUAUGAGGCUGCUUUUUGUUCUCCAUCCUAGAAAUGUAAAUGAAACACAUGAAAGAAAAUGUAUUGUAGAUGCUUCUCUUCUUAGUUCGACUCUGUAAAUAUGAUGUAAAUACCAAACAGCUAUGCAUGCUAAUAUACAAGCAAUUUGUUCAGGUACUUUUGUAAUCCAGACUUCUCAUAUGGCAUGUAAUGACAAAAAAAAAAUCAAACAUGAAAAACAUAACAAAUUGUGAACACGGAUAUGGUUUGUAAACGACUUCAAAACUGGAAAAUAUAUGUCUUUGCUGUUAAUGUUUUCUUACUGAUAACUAAUGCAUUGGCCUGCCAUUUACUACAGUGCUCUGCUCAUGUUACUUGUUAUCUUUUUUAUGUUUCAUAAGGUAGGGCUGAGGCAAAAAGGACCAUAAAUCCCUGGUUUGUGGAAUAGUCGGGUUAGAGAAUAACAUGAAGGGAAGGAUGGCAGUCUGACCACGCUCUUUGUCGUUUUUUCAUUGCCUCUGCACGUUCACAUGCAUACACUUAACAAUUAAUUACAUAUCCUUAGUGUCUAACACAGCCAAUAAAAUGCCAUGGCAAAACUGUUGCUAAAAGCAGUAGAAACUGGGCUGCCAUUUGAGUUAUCACACCAAAAAGACGAAUCACCAGCUUUAAAGUGUGCUGUUAUUUUAAAAUGGCAUACAUUUGUGUCUGAUAAAUGAAUGCAAAACCAUUAAACAACCUAUGAAGCUGGUAUAACAAGCAAUUUUGACUCAUUCCAAAUUCUCCAAAUCAUGAUUUGCAAGGGAAAGAGAUUUUGAAAACUUUGACAGUUUUUUUUCUAAUACUAUGUCCGGUGAAAACAAUGAUUGUCUAUAUGCCAAAUUUGCCUCUGCCCUAGCAACUCUAAUGUGACAUUUUAUGAAGAUAGAGAUGGAGGAAGUAGGGAGAAAUCUUUUUGGUUUCUAAGAGUGUUUAUUUUCAACCAUGUUAGAACCAUGUUAAACCCCAAGGCGCUCAUGGUAGAUGGAAGUGUCUAAUUUUUAACCUGUGCUAAAGAUAUUUUAAAUUUAAUAAAUAAUUAUUGUAACAAGAAA